rnacentral:lncRNA from 1 species
UAAGAUUAUUAUUUUUAUAAAAUUCUAAUUAUAUAAUAUCAACGAAUUAAAUAAUAAACUAUGGUAAUUAACUACUAAAAUAUGGUAGUUAACAUUUCUAAAAAGUAUUCUAAUCCCUAUGAUAUUAUUUCAUCUCAGUGUGUUAAUCCUGAAAUCCAAGUUGAUUCUUUUAUUUUCUUUUCUUAUUUCUAUAACAUUUUGUUUAUGAAGCUUAAAUCUAGGUUCGUAUUUCAACUAGAUUUGAUUGAUCAGGAUAGAUAUAUUAGAAUCUAUAGAUGUAGAUAUGUAAGACAAAUUUCAAGGAAAGGUGGCAAGUCACAAUCAGUCAUCUAGUGGGCGCUUCUAGCCAAUUGAUCAUGUGCCUCUUAAUUAUUUUAUUAAAAAAGGGAUCCUUAUAAUUCUGAUUUCAGGUGAAUUGAGCUCUUCUGAUGAAAAAGUCUAUGGUGCUUCUGCUCAUUCAGAUUAUGGAAUGAUCACCCUUCUUGCAACUAAUGGUGUUCGAGGACUUCAGGCAUGUUUGAUUCUUUACUGCAAUCCUUAGCUAUCAUCCUUGAUAUGGUUAUUUCUUGUUAUAUCUCAGGUUUAUACUGCUUAUAGGUUUGCAGGGAGAAGUUCAAACAACUACGAAUCUGGGAGGAUGUCCCUAAUAUAACUGGGUGAGUCUAAGUUGUCCACUAUUUUCCUGAACAAAAGCUAUCUGGUGUGAGGAGGGAAGAGUCUUUUGAUCGAAACUUCUAGAUUUUGUUUGGCCAAUGUACUUUUGUUGUAAGAAAGUAAAGUUUGGAUGAAGAUUUAAAAAUAGAACGAUCUUAAUUAAAAAGAAAAAUCCAAAAUUGGCUUUUGAUAAAGGUAACAUCAGAAACCA